CAGGAAGCUUGUCGUGCUUGCUCAAGCCGGCAUCAGGGGUGGAUCUGGCCCUCCCAAUCGGACUCACCUCCGAUUGGGUUGGCUGAAGCACAGAGGCUUAAACUGGGACCCGAAUCGGGCUCAACCGCCCCAGGUAGCAACACCCUCGGGUGCCUACA
rnacentral:rRNA from 1 species